CACGCUGUAAACGAUGGAUGCUAGCCGUUGGGGAGCUUGCUCUUCAGUGGCGCAGCUAACGCUUUAAGCAUCCCGCCUGGGGAGUNACGCGCAGAACCUUACCAGCUUUUGACAUGUCCUGGACGGAUUGCAGAGAUGCGAUCUUCCCUUCGGGGCCGGGAACACAGGUGC
rnacentral:rRNA from 1 species